rnacentral:lncRNA from 10 species
CUCCUCCCCUCGGCCGCGCCCCGCGACGCCUCUGAGCUCCGGGCCCGCUAAGGAGAGGGCUCCUCCUGCCCGCGGUUUGCAGAGGGAAGCGGCGGAGACCGGGAGGGCGCGCUCGGUUCUGGCCAGGCCAGCAGCUGCGGCCGAGUGGGGGGCUCCGGCCUGGCCGCUUCCUGGGACCCCCUCCCGCCCGGGGCCGCCGCCGCCAGCUGCAGCCUCUCGGCUCCUCCCCAGAGGAGCGCGGGGCCGGGGCCCAGGCCAAGUCCCUCCCCGGAGCCGCGGGGCGUCUGCGCCGCCGGAUGAGCUCCCCGCCGGGCGGCGACCCCGUGCCCCACGCCCGUCUCGGCAAGGAGGAGGCGGAGGCGGCCCCGCGAGAGAGGCCCAAGGAGCGACUGGGCCUGGACCCAGGGGACGCCAGGGCAGCGGAGCUCCCGGCACCGGUCCCGUCCCCCCCCCCCCGCCCACCCGCGGGACGCGCCCGCCUUAACCCUCCAGGCGCCGGGCCCGCUGGGGGCGCUGAGAGGGGCUGGUGUGCCGGGGGCGCCUUCCUGCUUGGGGCCGACGGGGGUGUGUGAGUGCAGGCGUGUGCGUGUGUGUGCGCAUGUGUGUGUGUGGAUGUGCGUGUGCGUGUGUAUGCCUGUGUGUGUUUGUGUGUGCGUCUGUGUGCAUGUGUGUGUGCACAUGCAUGUGUGUUCACGUGAGUGCAUCUCAUCUGUCACCCACAACCAGGGGAGCGGUGCUUGUACAACCAGCUGGUGGCUUCUGCAACCAGCAGCUUCUGGCCGUGCAGCUCCCUGUAGGGAAUAUGAGUUAAUCUGGAUGUCAGCCUAAGAUGUAGUCAGGGAGAGUGGUUUUUGGGAGCCCGGCAGCUAUCUGGACCCGUGUGCACCCCUGGACGCCUCCCUCCCUCGCAGAGGGUCCUGGUUCAUCUCGUCUGUUGCCUCUUAGAACAGUGGCCUCUACCUCGCCAGCACAAGCAGUCGAGUUAAGACAGGAGCCUCGUUCAAAGUUCCGCCCGGGGCCAGGCACAGCGCAGGCUCUCAGAGGAGGGCCCAGGAGUCCACAGGCUGCGGCGGCGCGAGACAAAAGUCGGAAGACAGGACCCCGCUGAGGAGUGAGGAGACAGCGGCCAACCCUCCGCCAGACCCUUCCGCCUGGUGCCUUUACUGGGCUCUGAGGAGGAAUUUGGUGGUUCAGUCGGCCCAUCCGUGGACACCAUAAAAACAAAGAGAAAACAGACACACACAGAUGCACACAUAGAUACACACAGAUACACACAGACACGGAUAUAUAGACACACACAGAUACACACACGUGGACACAGACACACACAUAGACACAGAUAUAUAGACACACACAGAUACACACACGUGGACACAAACACACACAGACAUACCCAUAGUUACGGAUAUAUGCAUGGAUACACAAUACACAGACACACAGAUGAUACAUGCAUAGACAGAUAUAUGGACACACACACACGGACACACAGAUACACACAUAGACACAUAGACAGACACAGAUACAGACACAGGCACAUGUAGACACACAUGGACAUACAAUACUCAGAUGAACACAGAGAUAAUAUACACAUAGACACAGAUCUAUAGAUACACAAAGACAUACACACAGAUAUACAUAGAUGCACACAUAGACACAGAUACACAUGUCAUCACACAUGGACACACACAGACACACACCAAUACACACAUAGACAUACGAAGACACAGGUACACAGACACGUAUACACACAGACACGCAUAUAUACAUACAGACGCAGAUAUACACACAGACACAGACAUACACACACACACAGACACAGAUAUACACAGAUACAUGGACAGAUACACAUUCACAUACACACAUAGAUACACAGAAACACACAGACACACAGACACAUAGAGACACACACACAGCCACACAGGCCCUGAGCCUCCCUGGGCCCUCCCUUGUGCAGAGGCGGAGGGGCUGGCUGUCGGGGAGGGCACCUGGAGAGGACACACAGCCCCAUCAGAGACCAGGGAGUGGCUCUGGGAGCUCUUUUCGUCCAAAGGGGCUGGAGCUCCAGUUAGCCAAGGUGAGGGCGUGGAGGAUUCCUGGGGGAAGCUUCGUGCUGCAAGGUGGAAAAGACAGAUAACAAGAGAAAAACAGAAGCUUAAUAGCAUGUAUACCUUGGUCUGCAAGGGACGGACUCGGGACAGGCUAUGUCGCAAAGGCGUGGCUUGGAGCUCAGCCUUAAAGACCAUGUUCGACGGAAACAAAGAGAAAGAGUGUGUGGGGAGGGGCCCAAGAAAUUACCCCAAACUGGGGUCAGGCCUUCUCCAUGGAUGAGCGUCUCCGGUGACUUACAGGCGGCCUUCUGGCCCAGAGAGGGGGCACCCUGGUGAGCGCAGAUGCCUGUACGGAUGUGACUUUCUCUCAUAGAACAGCAGCUUCCACUCUUGUUUUCAGAAUUUCUCCUGUGGUUGCAGUUUCUCAAAAUAAGCAGCUCAAAAUAAUGCUUAUGCCAAAGAGGCAUAUUUUGGGGUGGCAUAUUCUGGUCUGCUCUACGUGGAAGCGGACAGAAAAAUGGGGCAGAGGCCAGGGAGGGGAGCGGGACCGACUUCCAGUUCCCAGACCCGAGCAAGGGAACCUGAGGCCGAGCUCUGGAGCUUGGGGUCUGGAAGGGGUUCUCUGAGGACACUCUGGGAGUGGGGGAACAGCUGCCUCCUCAGGUUUCCCCCAAGGGAUCCUGCCUGGGGAGACCUGGACUGGGCAAGGCUUGGCAGCUGCCCUGCCAGGAGGAGGGAGACGGCUGCAGUGGGGGGGUGCAGGGUCGCUGGGGUCCCACCCGGGGGUGCUGGGACCGGCCAGAGGACACUGCGAUUUCCCAAUGGGCCAGGAAGGAAGGAGGCGCUUUCCAGGCAGAGCAUGACCCCGCACAGGAGGCAGAGACAGAGUCUCUGAGUGUCCCCGUCAGGUCCCUGGGACUGUGGCAGGGGAAGAAGCCGCAGUACCUCCUGCCCUUUAGGACAGGAGAGGUUGUCGUCCCAGCGUUGCCCAGCAGCUGGUUGGAGCCCAGGGCUCCUCAGAUGAGCCAGCGCCUGAGCCCUGAGCUGCCAGCUGGCCUGGCUGGAGCCGCCACUGAUCUUCCCAGGAGAAAGAGGCCGCCGUGCGUAAGUAGCGAGGUAUAAGAGGACGUGUAGAGCCGUGUCGCUCGCGCAAGAAGGGGAAAGAAGGAAGCCUGUCUGCAUGGCUGCGCAGGGGAUAUUGGAACAGAACUGAAGGAACUCAUGCAACGCUUCUCUGUGAAGGGGGCACCGCGAUGUAUGGACAAGGGUGGGAAAGGGAUGCUGGGCCAUAAAGUUUGGGGUGCGUGAUGGUGUGGAGGAGAAAGCCCUCCUGGGAGCUGUGGCCAGGGAGUGUGCAGUCCACGAGCAGAUGGAGCUUUAUGUGCCUCCCACCUCCUCCCAGGGGCCCCCCACGACUCGCUGAGGCCCCAUCAGCAACAGGAUGACGGGUUUUCUUUCCCACACAGAUCGGGGACGUCCCAGCCUCCUGAGGUGGGGCAGAGGCGGGCACCGCAGCCCAAGAGCUGGCUUUCCCCCUGCACCUCCACCCAUGCGUUGGCCUGGAGUGGCCCAGCGGAGGGUCCAGGUGGGGGUGCUGGAGGGGCCCACCCAGCUCAGGCCUGGCACCUGCACCUUUCUGGAUCCCACGAUGUUUUGCUGAGGGUUACUCAUCCAAGACCUGCCCGGAGGCUCCGAGCUGUUUACCACAGGCCAGCUCUGGCCGUAGCCUAUUCUGGGAGCCUGGGGGUGCUGGGAGGAGGCUGGGGCUCUGGGUGGCAGGAGGAGGAGAGCCGUCUUGUCCUUACUGAGCGUCCAGCGGGCGCCAGAUGCUGCGCCGCGUGCAAUUCUAAUCCUGGCCGGCAAAGCCAGAACGGGACAAUAUUCCUUCCUCCCCAGGCCUCCCGCUUGGCUGUGGGUGCUGACGGGCAAUGGGCCUGGCUAUCGGGGCUCACAGGGGAGCCGGGAGAGCCGCUAGCAGGAGAAAAUGUGAGCUCUGCAUCUGCUGGGCUGGGUUCGGGGGACGCGGGGUGGCUGGGGAGGGUCGUGCUCGUCCCUCCGGCUGCUGUCGCUGGCCCGCCGGCCAGUCCGCCCCAACGCUGGACUCCUGGGCUAUCCGUUCCCCACCCACCGUCUGAGGGUCUUUGAAAAUAGAACUCAUUCGUUUUCAUUAAAAGCAACCGAUCAAGAAGCCGAAAACACAAGAAUAAAACAAUGUAAAAGCUUGACUUUAUUUUGUAUCCGUCAAACACAGGACUCACAGUCCGUUACACAUGGAGCAUUCGCAACACUGAUCAUGUUCUGAUGGUCACACAAUGUCGGGAAAUUCCAAAAGGCAGAUAAUCUAGAGUCUGUUCACGGCAUCCACACACACACACCGGUGCACAGGCACACGAGCACACAGUCUACAGAUUGUUCGUAGACACAGUGUGGUAUAAUGAACAAAAGCUGGCUUUAAAAAUAGUUCUACCUGGGCCCGGUGCGGUGGCUCACGCCUGUAAUCCCAGCGCUUUGGGAGGCCGAGGCGGGUGGAUCACCAGAGGUCAGGAGUUCGAGACCAG